rnacentral:lncRNA from 1 species
CGUUGAGCGCCAUGGCUUCAGCGGUCAGGUUUUCCGUCGUUUCUAGAUUUCGAUUCGUCUGUUAGGGCUCGGUUUAUUCCUGCGAUAUUGAUGAUUUAUUUCGAUGGAUUACGUUUGUUAUCGGUGUGUGAUUUUAGGGUUUGGAUUCUUGGCGAUGGGGAUUUUUCUUGCCAGGUUAAAAUUUUUGAUCUAACGAUGCUUGAAGGUUGAAUUUCCUUAUAUAUUUCAAUUUUUUGGAUUGCGUUUCCGGUUUUGAUUCAUCUGUUUGGGAUUGAUUGAUUGAUUCUGCGUUCGUAGUGCUGUCGGUGUGUUUCUAGGGUUUGGUGGCUGGAUUCGUGGCAAUCGCCUCAUUCUAACAGGUUUAAUAAAGUUUGGAUCUGUCGGUGUGUUUCUAGGGUUUGUUGGCUGGAUUCGUGGCAAUCGCCUCUUUCUAACAGGUUUAAUAACGUUUGGAUCUGAUUAUUUUUCAAAGGUUGCGAAUUCCCAAUCGAAUUUUGUGGAUAUUGAUGGAUUUUGAUAUCUCAUCUUAAAUCUGUUGAUCUGCUUUUGGGUUUUUUGAUUUGGUGUGGUGGUUCCAGGGCGUUUUGGAUUCAAUAACUGGUUCAGCUAGGAGUUCGAUUUGAAGAUUCUCUAUUUACCCUGGGUUUUUGCGUAUCUUCUGUUACCUCAUUGAAGUUUAUGAAAUGAUGAUUUAGUUUAGAAAUUUUGAUCCCCAUCCCAUAUAUGUCCGAAUAAAUGGAGCUUUGUUGUUAACUUUCAGGCAUGGAUUGCGGGUUUCAGUCGCAUAGAUGUCUUAAGACUCGAGCGGUUAGGUAUUGUAUUUGGCUAAUGUUUUGAUGGCGUUCUUGUGUGAUUGCUCUGUGGUUGGGUUUGUACUCCUGUUUUCGCGAUAAAAAUCUUUUGAUGCCUCCCUUUCUUCUUAAAUGUUUAUUUUCCUCCUCUCUCAUUCAAAAAUCGUUCUAAAUUUUAUUACCUUCUAUUGGCAGAUACUAAAUUGGGAAUUUGUACGGUAUUAUCAAGCUGGCAUUAUUUUACACGUAAAUUGGGAAUAUGUUCAAAUCGGGUUUAAUGUCCUCAAUAUUGAUUAUUUCCAUUCAAUUCUGCAUCUUUUUGCAGUCGCUCGUUUUCAGAUCUUUUUAUUUCUUUCCUCAGAUUUAUUUUCCUAUCUCAGAAAAUGUUUGGCCUACGUUUAUUUUUGUUUAGCAGCUACUUUUUAAUUUUUAUUCCUAAAUAAAUAUUGGCUAUUAUGUAUUUUAAGGCUUCUUGCCCACAGCUUUUGUUUUAUAGUUCUAAGAGUCUUGAAGGUUUCGUUUUUUGUUUAGCAGCGUCUUAUGCAAAUGCGUUCUAAUUCUUCUUAGCCAGUCACAGCUAAGAUUUUUUGUAGAUGAAAAAUGUUUCAGGGAGCUGGAGGUGUCUCGGUUUGUUUAUGCACCCUGCUUGGCUUCUUGUUUCUGUUAAAUGUCCAUUACAUUCGAUUGCUGUGUUGUCCUGCCCUUGAUGUUUAGUGCAGAUUCAUCAACAGGGUUCUAACUUCACUCUAUGAGUGGGCACUUAAAGAAGGGGUUUCUCUUGGCUUUUGAUUCUUUUUUUUUUUGUAUUUUAGAGCGUAUAGGUUUUGUGCCACAAUCUGAGCAGUUCUUUUGUCUGCAGACACAUUUUAUUCUUGUUGAGGGAGAGCUGGGUGUUUCAAAGAUGGGGUUUGAGUGGUUCUGAGUGUGAUUUAACUUUUAUGAAUUUGAGCCAUUGUUAUAUCAAUGAUCUUAUUAAAAAAAUUUCUGGUUACAGUUUCGCUGGGUCGAGGAAAAUGGCUGCCUGAUUUAAAGGGGGUUUGUUUCUUUGCUUAUGUUUUAACUGUAUUCUUAGGGCUUAUGAGAUCUAGCACCAUUAUUUGUGGAAUAUUCUUUGCAGAUGAUGUAUCUUGUUUGUUUAUGAAGUCUAAUCUUGUUGGAGCAGAACAUGCUGGUUUGGAGGGGGUCUAAGUGCUUUCUUGCUUUUUAAUUGAAUACUCAUUCAUUUGAUUUGUUUGGUCCUACGUUUGUGUCUACCCAUUCUUGUUUGUAUGCAGAUGUGGGUCGAAGUGCACCUUGUUAGGAUUCUACAGUUUGGGAGCUUUGUGUGGCUUGGUUUGUUUAUUCACCCUGAUUGGCUUCUUGUUUCUGUUAAAUGACCAUUACAUUCGAUUUCUGUGCUGUCCUUCCUUUGGUGUCUUAUGCAGAUGCAUAGCUGAGUCCUAACUCUAUCCAUCCCUAGUAAAGAGUGUCGGAGUUUCACUUCUUUAAAACAUGAGCGGGCAGAAUUUUAAUAGGGGGUUCCUCUUGGCUUAUGAUUCUAUUUUUGUAUUUUAGAGCGAAUGGAUCUUGCCAUAAUCUGAGCAAUGUUUCCUUAUGCAGACACAUUCUAAUCUUUUUGGAAGGAGAACAUGCUGCUUCAAAGCGGGGGUUUGAGUGGUUUUCGAUUGAUUUAAUUUUAUGUGAUUUUGAAACAUUAUUUGAACAAUGAUCUUUUCAAAUAUUUUCUGGCUAUGCAGUUUCCCUCAGUUGAAGGAAAAUGGCUGCCUGAUUUAAAAGGGGGGUUUCUUGGCAUAUGUUUCAAUCUCUUGGCUUAUGAUUCUAUUUUUGUAUUUUAGAGCGUAUGGAUCUUGCCAUAAUCUGUGCAAUGCUUCCUUAUGCAGACACAUUCUAAUCUUUUUGGAAGGAGAACAUGCUGCUUCAAAGCGGGGGUUUGAGUGGUUUUCGAUUGAUUUAAUUUUAUGUGAUUUUGAAACAUUAUUUGAACAAUGAUCUUUUCAAAUAUUUUCUGGCUAUGCAGUUUCCCUCAGCUGAAGGAAAAUGGCUGCCUGAUUUAAAAGGGGGUUUCUUGGCAUAUAUUUCAAUCUCUUGGCUUAUGAUUCUAUUUUUGUAUUUUAGAGCGUAUGGAUCUUGCCAUAAUCUGUGCAAUGCUUCCUUAUGCAGACACAUUCUAAUCUUUUUGGAAGGAGAACAUGCUGCUUCAAAGCGGGGGUUUGAGUGGUUUUUCGAUUGAUUUAAUUUUAUGUGAUUUUGAAACAUUAUUUGAACAAUGAUCUUUUCAAAUAUUUUCUGGCUAUGCAGUUUCCCUCAGUUGAAGGAAAAUGGCUGCCUGAUUUAAAAGGGGGUUUCUUGGCAUAUGUUUCAAUCUCUUGGCUUAUGAUUCUAUUUUUGUAUUUUAGAGCGUAUGGAUCUUGCCAUAAUCUGAGCAAUGCUUCCUUAUGCAGACACAUUCUAAUCUUUUUGGAAGGAGAACAUGCUGCUUCAAAGCGGGGGUUUGAGUGGUUUUCGAUUGAUUUAAUUUUAUGUGAUUUUGAAACAUUAUUUGAACAAUGAUCUUUUCAAAUAUUUUCUGGCUAUGCAGUUUCCCUCGGUUGAAGGAAAAUGGCUGCCUGAUAUAAAAGGGGGUUUCUUGGCAUAUGUUUCAAUCUCUGUUUUCUUAAUGGCUUAUGAGAUCUAGCACCAUUAUUUGUGGAAUUUUCGUUGCAGAUGAUAUACUUUAUGGAGUUGGCUUGUUGAAGCAGAACGUGUCGUUUUUAAGAGGGGUUUUAAGUGCUUCCUUGUUUUCGGUUGAAUUUUCUGUUCUUUGGCUUUUUCUGGUUCAUCGAUUUGUGUCUACCUAUUCUUGUUUGUAUGCAGAUGUGUUGAAGUGCAGCUAAUUAGGAGUUGAACAGUUUAAAGGAGAGCGGGUGUCCUUCUCUUAGGGGGUUCCAUUGUCUUCUGAUUAUAUUCUAUUUUCUUAGAGCGUAUAUUUUUGUGCCUUUAUUUGAGCAGAGCACUGUUUUUAUAUGCAGACAUAUUCCUACGCCUGUCUGUGUACGAGGUCCAUGCUUGUUAGCUCUGUUGUAGAACGGGCUGUUUCUAAGAUGGGGUUUGAGUGAUUAUUGGAUUAUGUAAUUUCUUAUUUUUGGUGGGUUAAUGUUACCUCCUACCAUUAUUUGAUCAGUGAUCGAUGUUUCAUAUCAGAUGCUACCUGAAUUUUUGGUCAUGAAAUCUCACUCAGUCGUUGAGCAAUUUGCUAUCUGCUUCGAAAGGGGGUUUGAUGUUUCUUGGUUUAUGCUUACCUUUCUUAUAUAUUGGAGGUUGUGAGACAUGGACCAUUAUUUGCGCAAUUUUCUGUGCAGAUGCGUUUUAGAGUUCGUAUGCGUAUGGAGUUUAACUUUGUUCAAGGAGAAAGGGGUGCUUUGAAGGGGGUUUCUUUUGAAUCUGUUUUAAAUUUCUAUAUGUCGACUCUGUAUGUGAUUCUACGCCUUGAUUUGAGCAACGCUUCUGUAUGCAGACAUUCUCUCUCUUGUCCAUAUAUGGCAACCACCGUGGAAGGAGCAGUUUGAAUAUGGGGGUUUGAGUAGUUCUUGGGUUAUUAUUUUGUUUCUUAUUCCUUUGGGUUGACGGGAGCUGAAAUAAUCAUUGCAACAAUGUUUCAUGCAGUUACAUUCCAGAUAGUCUAUUUAAGAAGUCUGUUGGAUGGAUUGGCCGACUGCUUUUGAAAAGGGGGUUUGAUGCUUCUAAGCCUGUACUCUUGUAUUCAUUAGACUAAAUACUAUAUGCGAUCGUGGACUAUCAUUUGAGCAGUUAUUUGUGCAGAUGCCUUUGUCUUUUGUCUGUUUGUGUAGUCUUUACUUCAUUAUCGGAGAGCAGCCUGAGCAGGCAGCUUUUAAGAGGGGGUUUUUGGGCUUACGUUUAUCUUUUUACUUUCUAUUUUAUUUUUUUAUUAGUACGUAGCUUGUACCUUCCUUUGAGCAAUGGUUUUUGUAUGCAGACACGUCCGGACUCUAUUUUUGUGAAAGGAGAGCGGUGGAUUUUAACAGGGGUUACCUUAUGUUUUUGUUUUAAUUGUCCGUUAUUAGACUUUGUAUGCAAUCUUGCACCAUGAGUGGGCAUUGUUUCUGUAUGCAGACAUAUUGGCGAGCAUUGGAAGGAGGGCAGUCUGAAUGGGGGUUUGAGUUCGGUUUUGGAUGUUAUUUCUUACUCGUUUGGGUUUGAUGAGAUCUGGAACUAUUAUUGGAACAAUGUUUUAUGCAGGACCUAUUCCAAAAUAGUCUGUUUAUGAAGUCUCAGAGUGUUGGAUGGCAACGGGCUGCCUGUUUUAAAGAGGGGUUUAAUAUAUCUUAGCCUAUGUCUUGAUCUCCUAUUUCUUGUGUUUUGCGAUAUUGUUUGAGCAAUUAAUUAUGCAGACGCCUUUUUGUGUCGGAUGGAGUCCAACUCAUUAUAGGAGAGCAGCCAACUUUUGAGAGGGGGUCUUUGGCUUACGGUUUUUUUUUUUUUUUUCUUUUGUUGGCGUGAUAGAGAUAUUUUAUAGUUAUUUGAGCAAUGUUUUUUGUAUGCAGACACGUCCCCACAUUAGGUUGUAUGUGGUGUGCAAGUUUAGUGGGGGAGAAUGGGCUGCUUAUGAAAGGGGGUUUCCAUAGUUUGCCUUAUGAAUUUAUUUCAAGUUUUUUGUGAGUUUUGAGAUGCUGAACCAUUAUACUCACUGUUUAUUUGCAGAUGUGUCCCAAACUUUUCUUUUGCCUCACUCAGUUGAGUGAAAAAUGGGCUGCCUGCUUUUAGGACGAAGUCAGAUACCUUUUCCCUUUUUUGUUUGUUUGUAAUUUAUUUGCUCUUAUGAGACCUCUUAUGAUUUUCAUUUUUUCUUUCUUUGUUUAUAUAUAUAUUUGCUGUAUUAUUUGUGCGUACUUUUUGUAUGCAGAGACAUCCCAGCUUCUGUCUGUGCUCAGAAGGGGUGCGAAAUGCUUUUAGAAGGGGUUUGAGUUCUUGUCUUGUUACUUGAUUUCAUAUUGGUUUGGAUACCAUUGUCUUCCACGCUAAUGCAUUUGCAGACGUUUUUAGCUUGGAGUCUUUCAUGGGGGUCUACUUUAUGGAAUUGUCCUCACAUUCGGUUUGCUAUUCAUCUGUCAGCCGUCACUUUGUUCAUUAAAAGAUUUGUCUUCAUUGGGUUUACACUUAAUUGGCUUCAUUGUCUUUUGGCACUGGUUUACGCAUCUCAGCUUGGUUUAUGUUCAAAUGUUUCAGCUUGUGUGGAUGGUGGUACUCCCUAUUGUUUGACAAACGCUGAAUUUUGUUUGGUGACUUAAAAUUCUUCAUUCGGCAUUUUUUAUUUCAGCAACGCAUUAUUCAGUUAUCUUUAAACAUAGUUACAGAGGAUAGCGGUCUGCAGCUGAUUUUAAGUUGGAUGAUGGUUCUUUUCUUAUAUUUAGUUUUCCUGUAAAGCGCCGUAAGGUCUUUUUGGUUGGUGCUUCGCUUCAUUGAAUCCUAGAGGAGUAUGAGCUGCUUCUAAGAUGGAGUUUGUUACUUGAUGGCUUUUAUUUUCAAGAUGGCACUCUACGUGGACCGAAGUCAUGGAUUGUGGUUUUGUUUCAACAACUAUGUUUGUGUCGUGCUGUGGUCCUGUGCAGAAUAAUGUCAAGUCUCAUGGGGUUGGGCUGGAUUCAAUAUCUUCUACUUUCCUUGGCCAGAGAUUUCUUCCGGGAGUUGCUUUUAAUUUAAGAGGUUCAUGCUUUCUGUCCUAUCAAGUUAUCGUUUAAUUUGCCAUCUGUAAGAGUUCAUAAUAUCCAGGCAGCUAUGUAUGUCGAUGCAUUCCGCAAGGCAUUUGUUAGAAACUUAGAGGGGGUGUUUAACGUGCUUACUAUCUGGCAGCAGUGUUUGGGAUAUAUGAUUAUGCAUUGAGGAGCUUAUUUCUUUUUCUUGAAUGAGUAUCAUGUUGAAGUUGAUGGAACUGACCGUAGAAGAUGUUGUGGAGUCGGGUUUUAUCCUAUUCAGACUUUAUUAUUUCCCUGUUUCUCAUCGAUCAUCUCUUUAGUUUCCCUUAUGUACUUUGUCAUUAGUGUUGGUAUUACUUAUGCAGAUGUAACUUUGGUGAGGUCUUGCUUGAUUUCAAGUUUUGAUGAUGGAAAUAAAAGUGGUAUAAAUGUCCUUUUUCCCUUUUGUAUUGAAGUUUCGCAAUCUCGUAUCAUGAAUUUAUUAUCACUGUCCAAUUCAGUUUUUAUUUUUUUAUUUUUAUUUUUUAAAUCUGAUCCUCGUUUGGCUUUAGAUCCGGUUUAUUGUCGACGUGGAAGCUGUGCAG